AUUGAACGCUGGCGGAAUGCUUUACACAUGCAAGUCGAACGGCAGCACGGACUUCGGUCUGGUGGCGAGUGGCGAACGGGUGAGUAAUGUAUCGGAACGUGCCCAGUCGUGGGGGAUAACGUAGUGAAAAUUACGCUAAUACCGCAUACGAUCUAUGGAUGAAAGCGGGGGAUCGCAAGACCUCGCGCGAUUGGAGCGGCCGGUAUCAGAUUAGGUAGUUGGUGGGGUAAAGGCACACCAAGCCAACGAUCUGUAGCUGGUCUGAGAGGACGACCAGCCACACUGGAACUGAGACACGGUCCAGACUCCUACGGGAGGCAGCAGUGGGGAAUUUUGGACAAUGGGCGCAAGCCUGAUCCAGCCAUUCCGCGUGCAGGAUGAAGGCCCUCGGGUUGUAAACUGCUUUUGUACAGAACGAAAAGGUUUCUACUAAUACUAGGAGCUCAUGACGGUACUGUAAGAAUAAGCACCGGCUAACUACGUGCCAGCAGCCGCGGUAA
rnacentral:rRNA from 1 species